GAUGGUAUUUCACAAUCCUCUAUUUUGAAAAUGAUGAACAGGACACCUAAUGAAGAUAAACUGAUAUUUUGAAGAGAAUUGCCUUUCAAAGACCAUACAUCCAGAUUUCUUUUUUGAUGAAUUCCAAAUUCUUAUUUUUUUUAAAAUAAAUAUAUUUACAUACUA